rnacentral:rRNA from 1 species
AAGGGCACCACAAGAGAGUGGAGCAUGUGGCUUAAUUUGACUCAACGCGGGAAAUCUUACCGGGUCCGGACACACUGAGGAUUGACAGACAGUUUCUAUAUAUCGAAUUGGCGAGUAUACUACAAAUAUGCUAGCUCUUUCAAGAUUGUGUGAUAGGUGGUGCAUGGCCGUUCUUAGUUCGUGGAGUGAUCUGUCUGCCCAAUCGCGUUUCAAAUUUACGAGUCGAGUUGUUGUGAGUUCUCGCGUUGGCUUUGUAGGUGUACCGCACAUGCAAUUGCCACGCGCGUCUCACUUACAGACUCUCUUGAACGCAACGGACGGGACCGUACCCUCUUGUUGUGUAGAGCAAGUCAAAGCUGCGUUGUACUUUGUAUCUCUUAACGGAAUGCAAGUUCAAUUGCAUUAGCUAGCGACUCCACUACACAUGUUCACGUCGUCUCAUCUUCAAUUCACUUGAGUCGACUGGACAAACUUGAGGGACCGCUGUAACAAUCUUUUAAACCAGAUGAAGGUUGCGGCAAUAACAGGUCUGUGAUGCCCUUAGAUGUCCUGGGGCUGCACACGUGCUACAAUGAUCAGUACAGUGAGCAUCUUUUCAAGUACACAAGUGUCUGGCAAUCUUGUUGUUGGCUAUCACGUCGGCAACUUGUAAUUGCUACACUGUAUCCCGACUCUGAGAGGAUUCGGUAAUCCAUUUGAAGUACUGACUCUAACUCGCGUUUGAGCAUUUAUCCUAUAAUGGCCCCGGUGUUACGUCCCUUUGUCGGCUUUGACCGACUUGUGCGACGGGCCGUUGGUUUGCCAUUUAUGCCAUUGUUAAUUCAAAGUGGGGACAGACGAAUGUUAAAUUGUUCCUCUCG